UUCUAAGCCGUUCUCAUACUUUUUUCUUGCCUUUCUGCUUUGAAUAGUACCGGGUGAGCAUAAAUUAUUGAACACAUCUCAUAGGUGAAUAAAAAAAUAUCAAAUAAUAGUAGCGCGCCUAUUUUUGUGGCAAACGUUGGUGUACCUGCUAUAAUUUGUGAUGACCUUCAUCAAAACACAGUCGGCUCAAUGGUGGGGGUGACAGAGCCUCAGUUGAGCAAUGGCUACCAUGCAGGAGAAAGCUAUGUGCGUUCUGUGGUUUCACGAAAGCAAAUCGGUUAUUACUGUUCAAAGACUUUUUCGUUUAGAGUAUGGCCAUGAUCCUCCUUCUAACAACUCCAUUAAAU